rnacentral:rRNA from 1 species
UACGUAGGGAGCAAGCGUUGUUCGGAAUGACUGGGCGUAAAGGGUGCGUAGGCGGUUAUACAAGUUAGAAGUGAAAUACCCAGGGCUUAACUCGGGUGCUGCUUCUAAAACUGUAAGACUUGAGUACAGUAGAGGUUAGUGGAAUUCCUAGUGUAGCGGUGGAAUGCGUAGAUAUUAGGAGGAACACCAGAGGCGAAGGCGGCUAACUGGACUGAAACUGACGCUGAGGCACGAAAGUGUGGGGAGCAAACAGG